rnacentral:rRNA from 1 species
UACGUAGGGUGCGAGCGUUGUCCGGAAUUAUUGGGCGUAAAGAGCUCGUAGGCGGUCUGUCGCGUCUGCUGUGAAAUCCCGAGGCUCAACCUCGGGCUUGCAGUGGGUACGGGCAGGCUAGAGUGCGGUAGGGGAGAAUGGAACUCCUGGUGUAGCGGUGAAAUGCGCAGAUAUCAGGAAGAACACCGAUGGCGAAGGCAGUUCUCUGGGCCGUAACUGACGCUGAGGAGCGAAAGCGUGGGGAGCGAACAGG